UACGUAGGGGGCAAGCGUUGUCCGGAAUCAUUGGGCGUAAAGCGCGUGUAGGCGGUCCGGUAAGUCGGCUGUGAAAGUCCAGGGCUCAACCCUGGGAUGCCGGUCGAUACUGUCGGACUAGAGUUCGGAAGAGGCGAGUGGAAUUCCCGGUGUAGCGGUGAAAUGCGCAGAUAUCGGGAGGAACACCAAUGGCGAAGGCAGCUCGCUGGGACGUUACUGACGCUGAGACGCGAAAGCGUGGGGAGCAAACAGG
rnacentral:rRNA from 1 species